rnacentral:misc_RNA from 1 species
GAUGAAGAACGUAGCGAAAUGCGAUAAGUAAUGUGAAUUGCAGAAUUCAGUGAAUCAUCGAAUCUUUGAACGCACAUUGCGCCCGCCAGUAUUCUGGCGGGCAUGCCUGUUCGAGCGUCAUUUCAACCAUCAAGCCCCAGGCUUGUGUUGGAGCCCUGCGGCUGCCGCAGCCUCCCAAAACCAGUGGCGGGCUCGCUAUCACACCGAGUGCAGUAGUUUACUCUUCGCUCAGGGCGUGUGGCGGGUGCUAGCCGUAAAACCCCCAACUUCUCGAGGUUGACCUCGGAUCAGGUAGGAAUACCCGCUGAACUUAAGCAUAUCAAUAAGCGGAGGA